UCCGGUAGAGGCGCGGUGAUGAAAAGUAGCGGCGAUACGGCUUGUCGGAAAGCCGCCGUGAAAGGCUGAACCGCCGAGGAGCACGCGUUCCGAUGUGCGUGUUAUCCGGUUGUGCGUUGAAUAUGCGUACGACUGUCAUCGAGUUGCUUGAUGGAGCGCUGCCG
rnacentral:ncRNA from 1 species